rnacentral:lncRNA from 1 species
AAGAUUUUCGCAUGGAAAACAGUUUUUAAAAAGUUUUUCAGCUUUUUGUAAUUCUAGUGUUUCAAAAUAAGUUUCUGGAUGGAAAACGAUUUCAAAUGAUAAAUAUACUUGCAUGUGCUGUGAUAAGGACGGUUAGCCAUAUGCUGUGAAAUGAAUGGGCUUUUGAUAUCCGUUUGUAUACUGUGCAUUGUAAUUGUGAGUAGAUGUUGUGGGUGUAACUUGUUGUAAGGAAGUGAAUUCUCGAAAUUCGAGAGCUGGACUUCGUUCAGAAUCGACUGAUUAUCGAAUGGGUAUG